GACGAACGCUGGCGGCGUGCCUAAUGCAUGCAAGUCGCACGCGGCACCUUCGGGUGCUGCGUGGCGAACGGCUGAGGAACACGUGGGGACCUGUCCGGGAGUGGGGGACAACACCGCGAAAGCGGUGCUAAUCCCGCAUACGCUCUGAGGAGGAAAGCCGAAAGGCGCUCCCGGGUGGCCCUGCGGCCCAUCAGGUUGUUGGUGGGGUAACGGCCUACCAAGCCAAUGACGGGUCGCUGGUCUGUGAGGACGACCAGCCAGACUGGGCCUGGGACACGGCCCAGACUCAUACGGGAGGCAGCAGCAAGGAAUUUUCGGCAAUGGGCGCAAGACUGACCGAGCAACGCAGCGUGCAGGAAGACGGCCUUCGGGUUGUAAACUGCUUCUGCUAGGGAGGAUAACAGACAGUACCUGGCGAAUCAGCCCGGGCUAACUCUGUG
rnacentral:rRNA from 1 species